rnacentral:rRNA from 1 species
CCUGCUUGAUACUGCAAGUAGCAUUGGCUUGUUUCAAAUAAUAAGCCAUGCACGUGUAAGUACACAUGGCCGGUACAGUGGAACUGUGAAUGGCUCAUUGAAUCAGUUUAGUCCCUUUGAUUGCUCCAUCUAUUACUUGGAUAACUGUAUUAAUUCUAGAGCUAAUACAUGCAGACCUCCUGGGAUGUGUGCAUUUUUCAUACCAAGACCAACCCAGCUAGCCCGGCCACUUUGUUGACUCUGGAUAAGCUUGGCCAGAUUGCACAUCCCUGUAACAUCGACUACACAUUUGGACGUAUGCCCUAUCAACUUUCAAUGGUACUUUCUGUGACUAUCAUGGUGCCCACAGGUAACAGGGAAUGAGGCUCAAUUCUGGAGAGGGAGCCUAAGAAACAGCUUCCACAUCCAAGGAUUGUAGCAGGCACGCAAAUUACCCACUUCCUACUCAGGGAGGUAGUGCAGACAAGUAACAAUACAGGACUCUUUCCAGGUCCUAUAAUCAGAACGAGUACACUUUAAAUCCUUUAACAAGGAUCCAUUGGAAGGCAAGUCUGGUGCCAGCAGUCACAGGAAUCCUAACUUCAGUAGCAUACAUUAAAGUUGCUGCAGUUAAAAGGUUGUAGUUGGAUUUUGGGAUCAAGCUGGUGAUCCGAUAAGGAGGCGAGCAACUGCCUGUCCCAGCACCUGCCUCUCAGUACCCCCUUGAUGCUCUUGACUGAGUGUCCUGGCAGUCCAAAGCAUUUACUUUGAAAACAUUAGUGUUCAAAGCAGGCCGGUCACCUGAAUACUUCAGCUAGGAAUGAUGCAAUAGGACUCUGGUACUAUUUUAUUGCUUUUUGGAACUGGGGCCAUGGUUAAGAUGGAUGGCCGGAAUCAUUCAUAUUGUGCCUCUAGAGCGGAACAUCUUGGACCAUUGUACUUCUGACCAUAAACAAUUCACACUAGUGAUCCAGCAGCGUUAUUACCAAGACCCGCCGAGCAGCUUCCGGGAAACCAAAGUCAGUGGGUAACAGGGGUAUGGUUGCAAAGCUGAAACUUAAAGGAAUUGAUGGAAAGGCACCUCCAGGAGUGGAACUUGUGGAUUCAUUUGACUCAACACGGGAAACCUCACUCGGCCCAGACACAGAAAGGAAUGACAGAUUGAUAGCUCUUUUUCAAUUCUGUGGGUGAUGUUGCAUGGCUGCUCUUAGCUGGUGGAGUGAUUUGUCUGGUUAAUUUCAAUGACAAUUGCAAAUCAAACAUGUUACUUAGUUGUGAGACCCCAGCAGUUGGCCUUCAACUUCUUAGAGGGACACGUGGUGUUCAACCACACAAGAUCAAGCAAUAACAGGUCUGUGAUGCUCUUAAAUGUCCAGGCUGCAUAUGCACUACACUGAACAGAUCAGUAUGUGUCUACCCUAUGCUGACAGGUGCAGGAAACCCCCUGAACCUGGUUCAUGAUAGGGAUAGGGGAUUACAAUUAUUUCCCAUGAAAAGGAAUUACCAGUAAGUGUGGGUCAUAAGCUCACAUUGAUUAAGUCCAUGCCCUUUGGACAAACCGCCCAUCACUACUGCAGAUUGGAUGUUUUAGUAAAGUCCUCAGAUCGGCUCUGCUGGCUUCGGCAGCGGCCCUAGUGGAGCACUGAGAAGAUGAUCAAACUUGACCAGAGGAAAGAAAAGUCGUAACAAGGUUUCCGUCGGUGAGCCUAUGGAAG